CAGUCACCACGGGAAUACGAAGGGGGCUAGCGUUGUUCGGAAUUACUGGGCGUAAAGGGCGCGUAGGCGGCCAUUCAAGUUAGAUGUGAAAGCCCUGGGCUCAACCUAGGAAUUGCAUUUGAUACUGUUUGGCUUGAGUUCGGGAGAGGUGAGUGGAAUUCCCAGUGUAGAGGUGAAAUUCGUAGAUAUUGGGAAGAACACCAGUGGCGAAGGCGGCUCACUGGACCGACACUGACGCUGAGGCGCGAAAGCGUGGGGAGCAAAUGGGAUUAGAUACCCGGGUAGUCCCUGUCUCUAUACA
rnacentral:rRNA from 1 species